rnacentral:rRNA from 1 species
AGAGUUUGAUCAUGGCUCAGGACGAACGCUGGCGGCGUGCCUAAUACAUGCAAGUCGAGCGGAUCAAUUCGGAAGCUUGCUUCCGAAUUGAUUAGCGGCGGACGGGUGAGUAACACGUAGGCAACCUGCCUGCAAGAUCGGGAUAACAUUCGGAAACGGAUGCUAAUACCGGAUACACAAUUUGACCGCAUGGUUGAAUU